GACGAACGCUGGCGGCGCGCCUAACACAUGCAAGUCGAACGGAGCUUAGAGAGCUUGCUUUUUAAGCUUAGUGGCGAACGGGUGAGUAACGCGUGAGUAACCUGCCCUAGAGUGGGGGACAACAGUUGGAAACGACUGCUAAUACCGCAUAAGCCCACGGUACCGCAUGGCACUGAGGGAAAAGGAUUUAUUCGCUUUAGGAUGGACUCGCGUCCAAUUAGCUAGUUGGUGAGGUAACGGCCCACCAAGGCGACGAUUGGUAGCCGGACUGAGAGGUUGAACGGCCACAUUGGGACUGAGACACGGUCCAAACUCCUACGGGAGGCAGCAGUGAGGAAUAUUGGUCAAUGGACGAGAGUCUGAACCAGCCAAGUAGCGUGAAGGAUGAAGGUCCUACGGAUUGUAAACUUCUUUAUACGGGAAUAAAGUUCCUACGUGUAGGAUUUGUA
rnacentral:rRNA from 1 species